ACAUGCAAGUCGAGGGGUAACAGAGAGAGCUUGCUUCUGCUGACGACCGGCGCACGGGUGCGUAACGCGUAUAGAAUCUACCUUAUACUGAGGGAUAGCCUUUGGAAACGAAGAUUAAUACCUCAUAGUAUGAUUAAUUGGCAUCAAUAUAUCAUUAAAGGUUACGGUAUAAGAUGACUAUGCGUUCUAUUAGCUAGAUGGUGUGGUAACGGCACACCAUGGCAACGAUAGAUAGGGGCCCUGAGAGGGGGAUCCCCCACACUGGUACUGAGACACGGACCAGACUCCUACGGGAGGCAGCAGUGAGGAAUAUUGGACAAUGGAGGCAACUCUGAUCCAGCCAUGCCGCGUGCAGGAAGACUGCCCUAUGGGUUGUAAACUGCUUUUAUACAGGAAGAAACAUCUCUACGUGUAGAGAGCUUGACGGUACUGUAAGAAUAAGGAUCGGCUAACUCCGUGCCAGCAGCCGCGGUAAUACGGAGGAUCCAAGCGUUAUCCGGAAUCAUUGGGUUUAAAGGGUCCGUAGGUGGAUAAUUAAGUCAGAGGUGAAAUCCUGCAGCUCAACUGUAGAAUUGCCUUUGAUACUGGUUAUCUUGAGUUAUUAUGAAGUAGUUAGAAUAUGUAGUGUAGCGGUGAAAUGCAUAGAUAUUACAUAGAAUACCAAUUGCGAAGGCAGAUUACUAAUAAUCAACUGACACUGAUGGACGAAAGCGUGGGGAGCGAACAGGAUUAGAUACCCUGGUAGUCCACGCCGUAAACGAUGGUCACUAGCUGUUCGAACUUCGGUUUGAGUGGCUAAGCGAAAGUGAUAAGUGACCCACCUGGGGAGUACGUUCGCAAGAAUGAAACUCAAAGGAAUUGACGGGGGCCCGCACAAGCGGUGGAGCAUGUGGUUUAAUUCGAUGAUACGCGAGGAACCUUACCAGGGCUUAAAUGUAAAUUGACAGGUUUAGAGAUAGACUUUUCUUCGGACAAUUUACAAGGUGCUGCAUGGUUGUCGUCAGCUCGUGCCGUGAGGUGUCAGGUUAAGUCCUAUAACGAGCGCAACCCCUGUUGUUAGUUGCCAGCGAGUCAUGUCGGGAACUCUAACAAGACUGCCAGUGCAAACUG
rnacentral:rRNA from 1 species